rnacentral:misc_RNA from 1 species
AACCUAGCACACCUGCGGUGUGUACCUGCGGAAGGAUCAUUACCGAGUGCGGGCCCUCGCGGCCCAACCUCCCACCCUUGUCUCUAUACACCUGUUGCUUUGGCGGGCCCACCGGGGCCACCUGGUCGCCGGGGGACGCACGUCUCCGGGCCCGCGCCCGCCGAAGCGCUCUGUGAACCCUGAUGAAGAUGGGCUGUCUGAGUACUGUGAAAAUUGUCAAAACUUUCAACAAUGGAUCUC